CCUACGGGAGGCAGCAGUAGGGAAUUUUCGGCAAUGGGGGGAACCCUGACCGAGCAACGCCGCGUGAAGGAAGAAGGAAUUCGUUCUGUAAACUUCUGUUAUAAAGGAAGAAAGACGGAUGGAGGAAAUGACAUCCGAGUGACGGUACUUUAUGAGAAAGCCACGGCUAACUACGUGACAGCAGCCGCGGUAAUACGUAGGUGGCAAGCGUUAUCCGGAAUUAUUGGGCGUAAAGAGGGAGCAGGCGGCAGCAAAGGUCUGUGGUGAAAGAGUGAAGCUUAACUUCAGUAAGCCAUAGAAACCGGGCAGCUAGAGUGCAGGAGAGGCACGUGGAAUUCCAUGUGUAGCGGUGAAAUGCGUAGAUAUAUGGAGGAACACCAGUGGCGAAGGCGACGAUCUGGCCUGCAACUGACGCUCAGUCCCGAAAGCGUGGGGAGCAAAUAGGAUUAGAUACCCUUGUAGUC
rnacentral:rRNA from 1 species